rnacentral:rRNA from 1 species
AGUGAACGCUGGCGGCAGGCCUAAUACAUGCAAGUCGAACGGCAGCACAGCAGAGCUUGCUCUGUGGGUGGCGAGUGGCGGACGGGUGAGGAAUACGUGGGAAUCUGCCCAGUCGUGGGGGAUAACGUAGGGAAACUUACGCUAAUACCGCAUGCGCCCUUUGGGGGAAAGCCGGGGAUCUUCGGACCUGGCGCGAUUGGAUGAGCCCACGUCGGAUUAGCUAGUUGGGGGGGGAAAGGCCCACCAAGGCGACGAUCCGUAGCUGGUCUGAGAGGAUGAUCAGCCACACUGGAACUGAGACACGGUCCAGACUCCUGCGGGAGGCAGCAGUAGGGAAUAUUGGACAAUGGGCGCAAGCCUGAUCCAGCCAUGCCGCGUGAGUGAAGAAGGCCCUCGGGUUGUAAAGCUCUUUUGUUGGGGAAGAAAAGCCUUGGGUUAAUACCCUGAGGUUCUGACGGUACCCAAAGAAUAAGCACCGGCUAACUUCGUGCCAGCCGCCGCAGUAA